rnacentral:rRNA from 1 species
CAGCAGCCACGGUAAUACAGAGGGUGCGAGCGUUAAUCGGAUUUACUGGGCGUAAAGCGUGCGUAGGCGGCUAAUUGAGUCGGAUGUGAAAUCCCCGAGCUUAACUUGGGAAUUGCAUUCGAUACUGGUUAGCUAGAGUGUGGGAGAGGAUGGUAGAAUUCCAGGUGUAGCGGUGAAAUGCGUAGAGAUCUGGAGGAAUACCGAUGGCGAAGGCAGCCAUCUGGCCUAACACUGACGCUGAGGUACGAAAGCAUGGGGAGCAAACAGGAUUAGAUACCCCUGUAGUCCCUGUCUCUUAUAA